UACGUAGGGUCCAAGCGUUAUCCGGAAUCACUGGGCGUAAAGCGUGCGUAGGUGGCGUGUUAAGUGUGAUGUUAAAUCGCGGGGCUCAACCCUGUCGCUGCAUCACAUACUGGCACACUAGAGGACGGCAGAGGCAAGUGGAAUUUGUAGUGUAGCAGUGAAAUGCGUAGAGAUUACAAGGAACACCAAUGGCGAAGGCAGCUUGCUGGGCCAAUCCUGACACUGAGGUACGAAAGCGUGGGGAGCGAACAGG
rnacentral:rRNA from 1 species